AAGAUUUUAAGUUAAAAUUAAAACUAUUAAUCUUCAAAAUUAAAAAUAAAUUUUUUAUUUAAAUCUUA
rnacentral:tRNA from 1 species